rnacentral:rRNA from 1 species
UACGUAGGGUGCAAGCGUUGUCCGGGAAUUAUUGGGCGUAAAGAGCUCGUAGGCGGUUCGUCGCGUCGGCUGUGAAAUCCCGAGGCUCAACCCUCGGGUCUGCAGUCGAUACGGGCGGACUGGAGUUCGGCAGGGGAGACUGGAAUUCCUGGUGUAGCGGUGAAAUGCGCAGAUAUCAGGAGGAACACCGGUGGCGAAGGCGGGUCUCUGGGCCGAUACUGACGUGGAGGAGCGAAAGCGUGGGGAGCGAACAGG